rnacentral:rRNA from 1 species
AACGAACGCUGGCGGCAUGCCUAACACAUGCAAGUCGAACGAGACCUUCGGGUCUAGUGGCGCACGGGUGCGUAACGCGUGGGAAUCUGCCCUUGGGUUCGGAAUAACAGCGAGAAAUUGCUGCUAAUACCGGAUGAUGACGUAAGUCCAAAGAUUUAUCGCCCAAGGAUGAGCCCGCGUAGGAUUAGCUAGUUGGUGAGGUAAAGGCUCACCAAGGCGACGAUCCUUAGCUGGUCUGAGAGGAUGAUCAGCCACACUGGGACUGAGACACGGCCCAGACUCCUACGGGAGGCAGCAGUGGGGAAUAUUGGACAAUGGGCGAAAGCCUGAUCCAGCAAUGCCGCGUGAGUGAUGAAGGCCUUAGGGUUGUAAAGCUCUUUACCCGGGAUGAUAAUGACAGUACCGGGAGAAUAAG